GCCUCUGACAACAGCUCUGAGAGGCACUGAUGGGACCCUGGACUGUGGAUGCAGCAGGACACGGGUUCUCUUCGGCCUCGGGGGACCUGCGUGGUGUGUUGGGGACCCGCCCAGACUCAGUGCCCAGACUCCUCAAGGCCUGCCUACCUGGAGGGGGGAGGAAGGCAAGGAGGUGGGAUCAGGGAAAUUUCCCACCCUGCCUUAAAGCAACCGCUGAGAAGUUUGUCAUCCUCCACCUUCAAUGCGAAUACCUGGAAAAUGAGUGCAGUGACACUCCAAAUCACAACUGCAAGGCCGUCAGCUGGAGUUGGAAACCUCCUCCUGGGAAACCUGCCUCAGGUUAUUCCAUGGAGAGGAAAAUCAACUAUUGUGAGAUCAAGGCAGCUGCUUGUCCCUUGGCUUCACUCACUGGCCAAACUAGCUAAAUUCCUUUCACACAGGGAAAUGCAGGCUGGGAUCACAUAACUCCCGUGAAGCGGAAACUGGAUGAAUUCAUGCCCUAAGAAGAAUGGAUGCUAAGACCUCCUGAUCAAAGACACCUACAGCAAAAGGCCUGAAGGAGAAGCCUCGGGAUCCCGAUUCCAGUCUUGGUUGCUACUGGCUUGUGUGGGAGCUCCUGUAAUAAGCUCCCUUCCUGGAGCCUGGGUGCACGCCCAGAGGAGCUGCCUUCCUGUGUUGGACAGUUAAGGAAGGCCCUCGUGACCAGGUGAGAGCUGAACAGAGAGCUAAAGGAGACAGGAAAGGGAGCCACACAGGGGAACGGGCUUCUCCGAGGUGAGGGAUGUGUGACUUCUGGGCCAGGGAUAUGGAUGGCUUCCUGGAGGAACAGCAGCAAGGCCAAGGUGUCGGGCAGGGUGGGCAGAAGUAGAACUGGCCAGAGAGUGCGUGCUUAUGACCGUUGGAGUGACAGGACCUGAGGGACAUGUCACAGUGCUCACUCCUGCUGCAGCGUGGAGUGUGGGAUGAGGGCAGAGACCAGACAGGAGGCUUCUGCUGUCAUCCAUAGGUGGUCCAGGGAGGGGGCUAGGGGAGAAUGUGCCCACCGUUGCCUCCAGUAUGAGCAGGAAGCGACAGGUGCCUCAAAAGAAGUGUAGGAGGCUGAUGCUGGCCAGAAAGAUUGAGCUGGGCCUCCUCAAGUGGAGACAGCACACAGAGGGCUGGCAGGUUGAAAGUGGAAUUGGCAUGAACAAAGGCAUCCGUGAGAAAAGCAAAGCCGUGGGCUGGAAAGAGCGCUGGGAAGUGAUUGGGAGAGUGGAGGCUGGCUGCCUAGCCUCAGGGUCUUCCGCAUAAGACGGAGACGGAGACGGAGAUGGAACCCUCAUUUACUCACUGGGCCAUCGCAAGGCAGGUUCUUGGAGGGCGGGGGGUUUCUGAGGCCCGUUGUGGAGGAAGCGCUCCCUCCUGUGACUACAAGGCCAGAAAAUGGGAGGAGGCUGAAACGUUGGCAUGGACGCGCAGAAACAUGGCCCCUCGGGGAGGGCCCCUCAGGAAGAGCCCGGGAUGCCAGGCUCCAGGCCCAGUGCAAGGACAGCUGCCCAGAGCGUCCCAGAGUCACAGGAUCCCAAGUCACCAGGGCACCAGCAUGGGGCCCUGCGAGCUGGACUGCAGUAGGGGUCCCGGGGUCCCAGCUCAUGCUAUGCCGGUGCUGCUUAAGAAUUUUUUUUUUUUUUUUAGUUAGUUGGUUGGGCUGGGCAUCAUCUGGGUCAUGGGUGGACCCUCUGUAAAAGCAACCAUCUGCCCAGGGCAGCGUCAGCAGUGGCGAGGCACAGGGCACGGAGUGUGGGUACAGAAGGAAGCAGGUGGCCUGUGGUUGCAGGGGUGCGCUCUGGGCAGUUUAGAGAAGCCAGCCUUGUUCCCAGGUGAAGCCGGCCAGGCCCGGGCCUGGGCUCAGGUUCUUGUCCCAGCUCCAUUGCACCUAAGUUGCUUGCUGUCCCUAAAUAAUUCUUGCCUCCUCUCUGAGCCACAGCUUCCUUUUCUGUUUAGGAAAAAAAAAUGCCAGGAGGGCUGAGCUGGACAAACUCUGAAGUCCCUUCCAGCUCCAAGUUUCUCUGUUUAUCAGACAGCCUAAUCUCUGCAAGAGCACUUGUGACGGCUGCGCCUGGAGACAGUCUUGGCGGACUCUGGGGUUACACAGAGGGCACUGAACACCCCUGCCAUCAAGAUAAGACAGGAGCACCUCUCCUGGGGCCCGGCCUUUCUCCCUGUGGUUCAUAGGCAGCUGGGGGGCCCGCUCAGAUCUGAGAGCCCCUCCGGGACUGUCAGAUUUAACCCUUACCGGGCUGCAGCAUUCGGCGGGCGCAGGUGGCGGCGGUAGGUGGGGCUUGUCCCACAUCCCAGGCACUGGGUGCUCGCUUGGCCCUUUGUCAGCUCAAACAAGUGAAUUGGGUUUCGAUCCCUCUGAUGGGAAGCCUCGUGAUGUCAUGGUGUGAAAAGCAAAGAAAAUAAAUGCCUUUGAUUUUGGAUAAAUCA
rnacentral:lncRNA from 1 species